ACUCAGAUAGAUUUGAAGACGAUGAGCCUGAUGCAAUGAAGAACACAGACAUUGACGGCCAAUUAUAUGCCAACGUAGGAGCCUUCAAACCCAGUACAAGAGAUGGAGUUGUUGCUUCAGUACAUGUUCAGUGGUGGAAGAGACCCUCUGUAGUUGCUGCAGUGUGUCUGGGGCUGCUGUGUGUUCUCCUACUGGCUGGGAUCAUAGGCCUGUCUGUCUACUAUGGAGUCAUUGGUCAUCACAACUCAACAGAGAGAGACCAGCUACAGACCAGUUACAACACCCUGACUGAAGAGAGCAGCUACAGACCAGUUACAACUCCCUGACUGAAGAGACCAGCUACAGUCCAGUUACAACAACCUGACUGAAGAGAGAGACCAGCUACAGUCCAAUUACAACAACCUGACUAAAGAGAGAGACCAGCUUCAGACUGAGAGAAAUGUUAUU